rnacentral:lncRNA from 1 species
GGAAAGACUCAACCUUCUGCUGCCUUGCUAGGGACAGGCCACUUGACUGAUGAGCAGCCACAGGACCCUGUUGUACAUAUAGUGCUUCAAUCAAAGUGCACCUUUCCCUCUGGUCUUCACCCAGACGGGUGAGCACAUCAGCUUUCAUCUUUAGUUCUUCUGCUCUUCUUGGCUUUUUAAAAUUGUCUUAUUUUUCUUACAGCUCAAUCUGGUUCUUAAUCCCAAACCUUUUGGGCAAUCCUUCUGGGUGGGAACUCACUUUGUGUACUUGCGAAUAUCAAGCUGCUAAUCUUCACACAGCUAUAGUUUGCUUUAUUGUGAUAUUUGACACUGACAUUUUCCGUAACACUGUGAAGCACUCACAUCUUGAUCUCAUUAGAUCCAUGUCACUUUGUUCUAUGGAUAAAUCCCUUCAUUUUUGGCCCUUGGUGUUAUCUUUUCAUCCUUUGCAAUACUGUAAAUAUCAGUGUUCUCCAAAAGUAGUACUCCUAUUCCUACUCUCCAUAGUUUUAGCUCCCAUUCCAAAGCUGAGACCCUUCUCUUGAGUCCAGACCUGUGUGUCCAGUUGCCUGGUGGAGUCCUCUGCCUUGUCACUCUGAAGGCACCUUAAGUUCAAUAUGUUCCAACCUGAACUCAUUGUUCAUCGAAGCUGCCAAGCUCCCUCUCCCUCUCUUCCCUAUGCUUGCUCAUGUUAACCAUAUUCCCAUACAAUCACCCAUGCCUAGGAAUCAUCUUGAAGUCCUUCUCAUUUAUCCCCAAUACGGAAUACCAAGACAGUCCUAUCCACUCUAUGUCUUAACUCUCCUACAUCUAUUUCGUCCCUUCAUUUUCACUUUUACUUCCCCGGUUCAGGCCUUUUUGUUGUAUGUCAAUCACAACAACCUCCUUAUUGUACUGUAAAUCCUCCCACUUUCACAUAGCCCUACAUAAACCCAUCCUCCAUGCAUGCGCCCCCAGAGUUGCGAGCCCCCACCUUUUUUUUGAGCCCCCACUCUGUCACCAGGGUGAAGUGCAGUGGUGUGAUCCCGGCUCACUGCAACUUCUGCCUCCCGGGUUCACGCAAUUCUCAUGCCUCAGCCUCCUAAGUAGCUGGGAUUACAGGCGUGAGCCACUACACCUGGCCGGUAGUGUGAUUCUAAAGGGCUGGAAGUGA